rnacentral:rRNA from 1 species
UGGCGCACGGGUGAGUAACGCGUAACUGACCUACCCCGAAGUCUGGAAUAACUGGCCGAAAGGUCAGCUAAUACUGGAUACCCACAUGACUUUUGAGUCAUGUGGAAAGAUUUAUUGCUUUGGGACGGGGUUACGUUCCAUCAGCUAGUUGGUAGGGUAAAGGCCUACCAAGGCGACGACGGAUAGCCGGCCUGAGAGGGUGGCCGGCCACAGGGGCACUGAGACACGGGCCCC